rnacentral:rRNA from 1 species
AGCGAACGCUGGCGGCAGGCCUAACACAUGCAAGUCGAACGAAGUCUUCGGACUUAGUGGCGGACGGGUGAGUAACACGUGGGAACGUGCCUUUAGGUUCGGAAUAACUCAGGGAAACUUGUGCUAAUACCGAAUGUGCCCUUCGGGGGAAAGAUUUAUCGCCUUUAGAGCGGCCCGCGUCUGAUUAGCUAGUUGGUGAGGUAAAGGCUCACCAAGGCGACGAUCAGUAGCUGGUCUGAGAGGAUGAUCAGCCACAUUGGGACUGAGACACGGCCCAAACUCCUACGGGAGGCAGCAGUGGGGAAUCUUGCGCAAUGGGCGAAAGCUUGACGCAGCCAUGCCGCGUGAAUGAUGAAGGUCUUAGGAUUGUAAAAUUCUUUCACCGGGGACGAUAAUGACGGUACCCGGAGAAGAAGCCCCGGCUAACUUCGUGCCAGCAGCCGCGGUAA